AUUGAACGCUGGCGGCAGGCCUAACACAUGCAAGUCGAGCGGCAGCGGGAGGAAGCUUGCUUCCUCGCCGGCGAGCGGCGGACGGGUGAGUAAUGUCUGGGAAACUGCCCGAUGGAGGGGGAUAACUACUGGAAACGGUAGCUAAUACCGCAUAACGUCUACGGACCAAAGUGGGGGACCUUCGGGCCUCACACCAUCGGAUGUGCCCAGAUGGGAUUAGCUGGUAGGUGGGGUAAUGGCUCACCUAGGCGACGAUCCCUAGCUGGUCUGAGAGGAUGACCAGCCACACUGGAACUGAGACACGGUCCAGACUCCUACGGGAGGCAGCAGUGGGGAAUAUUGCACAAUGGGCGCAAGCCUGAUGCAGCCAUGCCGCGUGUGUGAAGAAGGCCUUCGGGUUGUAAAGCACUUUCAGCGAGGAGGAAGGCGUUGUAGUUAAUAGCUGCAGCGAUUGGCGUUACUCGCAGAAGAAGCACCGGCUAACUCCGUGCCAGCAGCCGCGGUAAUACGGAGGGUGCAAGCGUUAAUCGGAAUUACUGGGCGUAAAGCGCACGCAGGCGGUCUGUUAAGUCAGAUGUGAAAUCCCCGGGCUUAACCUGGGAACUGCAUUUGAAACUGGCAGGCUAGAGUCUCGUAGAGGGGGGUAGAAUUCCAGGUGUAGCGGUGAAAUGCGUAGAGAUCUGGAGGAAUACCGGUGGCGAAGGCGGCCCCCUGG
rnacentral:rRNA from 1 species